GAAGAAGAAGAAGAGGAAGUGAAAUUCGUUACGGUUGAAAGAAAAUGGAAGAAUGAGGAAUCAGAAAUUUUGGGGAAGAGAUUCGAGAAGAGAGAGGAAGAAGAGCCAAAGCUUCUGCAGAAAAAUUCGCCCCUGAAAUUCACUGUUAAUCUUGCAUAUAUACUUUGAAGGUUGAGUUUAGGUGAGUUUAUGAUUCUGCGUUUUGGACUUUUUUGGAGUUGUUUGGUUUGAUUCGCGUUUUACAGCAGCUAGCUUGUGUUGUAGCUUUCGUGUACACUAUUUACGCCGUUUCUCCAAUUCCAAUUGCCGUUUUCACUUGGCUUAUGCUGCUGCAAGUUCUGCGUUUCACUUCGUUGCCCUUGCGUUUUGUUGCUUUUGCUGCACGUUUAGCUUAUUGUGUAUUUUCGUUUAUGCAGGCUUUUGGAUUUCCGUAGUUUUCGUUUUGAUUUCGCACGUGUGUGCGUUAUGCUGCAGUUGCCACGUUUCAGCUUCAUGGCUUAAUUCAUGCAUUGUGUUUCACUCUUGGCUUGUGCGGUUUGGUAUCCAACCUGCAUUUGGCUUCGUUGCAUUUGGUUUUGCAUUGCAGUAGCAGCAUUUUCUGCGGGUUUACGUUUGUCUUUGGCUUAUUUGCAGCGGCUUGGCUUGUGUUCAUUGCGUUUGGAUGUUGCAUCAGCUUUUAUGUUAUUUGGCUUUGCAGCUUGCGAUGCCUUGCCGCUUAUGCUUAUCAAGCUGCGUUUGGAAGCAUGGUUUGGUGCAGUUCGCGUUUUCUCUUUUUUGGGAUAGUGCACGUAUGUUUGGUAGCUGCAGCAACUUGUUUGUAUUGUUGGCUCUUGGCGUUGUAGCAGUUUUUAUUUUGGCGCAACUUUGCCCCUCUUUCACUUUCCACUUGCCUCUUAUUACUUUGUGUUAUUUGGGAUAUGUACUAAAAAUGAAUAAUAGAAUUGGCUAAUGGGUAAUUAGGGUUAACAAUGGUUUAAUGGGUAUGAUACAUUGGAUAUGGAAAUUGUAUAAGUAAGAUUAAAUGGAUGUGGUUUUUUUUGGAUA